ACAGUUGAAUGUAACGUUGUUACGGUAACCCAGCAAGAACAUUUUACACAUGGCAGAGAAUGUCAAGUAGUUUAUCUGGAAACACUUGGCAAAAUAUAUCUGAUGCAGUUGUAACUGACGGUCAGCUACGGAAACAAAACAUAAACAGGAAUGAUGCUGGAACAUACAGAUGUACGGCAUCAAAUAUGAUAAUACCAACCGCUGGACAGUCACAGGAAGGUUUCAGCUCACGGACAUUUAUUCUCAAAGUUUUAUAUAAAGCUUCUGUCUCAAGUUUUACUGAAGUUAAUCACCCUACUAUGCACGAAGUAACAGUAUCUGAAAACUCUUCAAUUCGUCUGCAGUGUGAAGUAGAUAGUUAUCCAGGAUCAAGAAUUAGAAUUUUGAAAGACGGUGAGACUCAAAACUCAACCGAAAAUACAAGUCAGAUUUCAUUUACAAAUUCAAAAGUAGCUUGUGAUACCGCGGGCAUCUACAGCUGUGUUGGUUUUAACGAAUACAACACGGAAGAAAACAAAGCAUCUAAGGAUUUGAAACUUUUUGUUACAUGUUCGCCCCGUUUAUCAUCUACAGAAGACUUUAAGAGCACUAUUACAAGUUCCUUAGAUGAAGUAACAAGAAUAAAGAUAACAGUCAUAGCAUUUCCCGUACCGAAAUAUUCUGACUUUGUUUGGUUCCGAUGGAAUGGGAGCACAUGGGAGACAUUGACAAACGAUAACACUAAAAUAAUAAACACUCAUGGUUUGGAAUCAACUCUGAUAUUUCUGCGUGUAAAAGAGUCUGACUUUCAGCGAUAUAGAGUGAUCGUAAGAAACAGUGUUGGACAAUUCCAGCAAGAAUUCUUUCUAGAGCGGCAAGCGGAACCAACGAAGACAGAAGCUAAAGCAGUUGUGAAUGGUGGUAUGGUUGGUGGUAUUGUUGGUGGAGUUGUGGUUAUCAUCUUUGUUGUAGCUGUUGCGGUUGUUUGUAUAUUACGAAGGUCGCGUUUUCUCCAAAGAAAAGAGCUGGAAAGAAAAGAAGAACUAAGACUCGGGUAAAAAUUCAACUGGCAGUCAGCAAGAAACAUACACAGAGCUCCAGUCUAUUGAAGAUAACAAGAAGGAACAUAUUUAUCAUGAAAUAGAAUAGAAUUACAUGCAGCGGGAGGAUAAGAAUGCGUAAAUGAAAAUGAAUAAAUAAAGAAAGACGUCAUUAGCUUUCUCUUUGCCUAGAAUGUGAAAGGGAAUGAAUAUUGUGAUUACGUUGGAAAUAAUAUUUGAGCUUUUAACAUUUUGUCUAUAGCAACUUAUUUAUUAGCAGUCAAGAAUUAUAUAGAAAUGUAUAAUAUAUGAGCAAAAUACUACAGAUUGAUACUUCUCUAAGAAGUAAUUAUUAGUAUUUUUUUAUAUUUGCCGUGUAAAAACCUCCCGAGUUAUACCUGUUAAAAUAACAUAGCAUAAUAUUUGAUUGAACAAAAACAGUUUUAUAUCCUAACGAUGCCGCACAAGAGUAACGUUAUGUUGUAUGCUGUAUAGAUGUCUAAAAUUAUAACCUUUCAAAACAAUAUAGUUAUAAUGUUUUAUGUUAGCUUUGCUAGCAAUGCUAUAUAGAUGCCUAUGUUAACACUAUCGUUAUUUCUCGUUCAUAAUAUGUGUGCUCUUAUGCCUAAUAUGUGAAUUGUAUCCUUCUUGUGUUAAGGAGGAUGUAAAACAUAUAUUCCUUUACAGAACGAUUUACAAUUUACUGAUAUUCUGAGUAAGGGCUCUACAAAGGGACCAGAGUUUACUUUGCUUUGGAACAGUUCUGCGCCUUUAAAUCACAUCACUUUUAAUCAGAGGUAGAGGCGGGAGAGUAUCGAUGACGACUAACGGCUCAGAUUAACUUGCAGUCACUUUUUGAAAAUUAAAAAUUCCCAUAGUGAUAG